UACGAGGGGGGCAAGUGUUGUUCGGAAUCACUGGGCGUAAAGGGAGCGUAGGCGGUUGUUUAAGUUGGAUGUUUAAAACCGGGGCCUAACCUCGGAGCGGCAUCCAAAACUGGGCAUCUUGAAUAGGUCAGAGGCUGGUGGAAUUGGAGGUGUAGCGGUGGAAUGCGUAGAGAUCUCCAAGAACACCUAUUGCGAAGGCAGCCAGCUGGGACCAUAUUGACGCUGAGGCUCGAAAGCAUGGGGAGCAAACAGG
rnacentral:rRNA from 1 species